GGCGCACGGGUGCNUAACGCGUAUGCAACCUACCCUUUACUGCGGGAUAGCCCGGGGAAACCCGGAUCAAUACCGCAUGGUACCAAUUGAGGGCAUCUAAAGAUGGUUAAAGAUUUAUCGGUAAAGGAUGGGCAUGCGUGACAUUAGCUAGUUGGUGAGGUAAUGGCUCACCAAGGCAACGAUGUCUAGGGGUUCUGAGAGGAUGAUCCCCCACACUGGCACUGAGAUACGGGCCAGACUCCUACGGGAGGCAGCAGUAGGGAAUAUUGGUCAAUGGGCGCAAGCCUGAACCAGCCAUGCCGCGUGCAGGAAGACAGCCUUCUGGGUUGUAAACUGCUUUUAUCAGGGAACAAAAAGCUCCUGCGGGAGAAAUUGCGUGUACCUGAAGAAUAAGGACCGGCUAACUC
rnacentral:rRNA from 1 species